rnacentral:rRNA from 1 species
AUGCUGCACUCGUCACUUCACUGCAAAGUCCCAAAUGGCGCAAUCGACAUUACGUCGGUUCUUAUUUUCCUAAAUGCCUUGACGGAUGCACCACAUUUCCUCAUGGAGUUCAUACAAGCGGUGUCGGUCACCAUCGACUGCGGGCAAGGAGGGGAGGGUACCAUGGAAGAGAUAGUGUGCGGUCAUCUGGCGUCAGUUGUCAAGGAGGUUCUUCGAAUCUGGCUUCAUACUUGCACUGGUGACACCUCCGAAAUGGAAGAGGCCGAGAGGGAGAUAAUGAUCAAGAGGGACCAAGCUGUAAGAUUAAAAUCAACUGAGGUCGACCUAACUGCAAAUCUGCCUAGGAUGUUUGGUCCUGAUGUGUCUGGCCACAUCAUUGCUGAAACCCGUAAGGCCUUUGGGGUA